rnacentral:rRNA from 1 species
AACGAACGCUGGCGGCAUGCCUAACACAUGCAAGUCGAACGAGACCUUCGGGUCUAGUGGCGCACGGGUGCGUAACACGUGGGAAUCUGCCCUUUGCUUCGGAAUACCAGUUAGAAAUGACUGCUAAUACCGGAUGAUGUCGAAAGACCAAAGAUUUAUCGGCAAAGGAUGAGCCCGCGUAGGAUUAGGUAGUUGGUGGGGUAAAGGCCUACCAAGCCGACGAUCCUUAGCUGGUCUGAGAGGAUGAUCAGCCACACUGGGACUGAGACACGGCCCAGACUCCUACGGGAGGCAGGAGUGGGGAAUAUUGGACAAUGGGCGAAAGCCUGAUCCAGCAAUGCCGCGUGAGUGAUGAAGGCCUUAGGGUUGUAAAGCUCUUUUACCAGGGAUGAUAAUGACAGUACCUGGAGAAUAAGCGCCGGCUAACUCCGUG